GACGAACGCUGGCGGCGUGCUUAACACAUGCAAGUCGAACGGGAACCUUUAUUUCGGUAAAGGUGAGAGUGGCAAACGGGUGAGUAACACGUAGGCAACCUGCCGACAGGAUGGGGACAACAUUCCGAAAGGAAUGCUAAUACCGAAUGGAGUCCGAGGAUGGCAUCAUCCCCGGAUCAAAGAUGGCCUCUUAACAAUGCUAUCGCCUGUCGAUGGGCCUGCGUCUGAUUAGCCAGUUGGCGGGGUAACGGCCCACCAAAGCGACGAUCAGUAGCCGGUCUGAGAGGAUGAACGGCCACAUUGGGACUGAGACACGGCCCAGACUCCUACGGGAGGCAGCAGUGGGGAAUCUUCCACAAUGGGCGAAAGCCUGAUGGAGCAACGCCGCGUGAGUGAAGAAGGUCUUCGGAUCGUAAAGCUCUGUUGCACGGGACGAAAACCGAGCUUGAAAAUAUUGAGCUUGGGUGACG
rnacentral:rRNA from 1 species